UACGGGGGGAGCAAGCGUUGUUCGGAUUUACUGGGCGUAAAGGGCGCGUAGGCGGUCAGCACAAGUCAGUUGUGAAAUCUCCGGGCUUAACUCGGAAAGGUCAACUGAUACUGUGCGACUAGAGUGCGGAAGGGGCAACUGGAAUUCUCGGUGUAGCGGUGAAAUGCGUAGAUAUCAAGAGGAACACCUGAGGCGAAGGCGGGUUGCUAGGCUGAUACUGACGCUGAGUGCGCGAAAGCUAGGGUAGCAAACGGG
rnacentral:rRNA from 1 species